rnacentral:rRNA from 1 species
GACGAACGCUGGCGGCGUGCUUAACACAUGCAAGUCGAACGAUGAACCCGGAGCUUGCUCCGGUGGAUUAGUGGCGAACGGGUGAGUAACACGUGAGUAACCUGCCCUUGACCCUGGGAUAACUGCGGGAAACUGUAGCUAAUACCGGAUACGACCCUCGGCGGCAUCGCCAGGGGGUGGAAAGAAUUUCGGUCAAGGAUGGACUCGCGGCCCCUACGCUAGUUGGUGAGGUAACGGCUCACCAAGGCGACGACGGGUAGGCGGCCUGAGAGGGUGACCGGCCAGACUGGGAGUGGGACACGGCCCAGACUCCUACGGGAGGCAGCAGUGGGGAAUAUUGCACAAUGGGCGCAAGCCUGAUGCAGCACCGCCGCGUGAGGGAUGACGGCCUUCGGGUUGUAAACCUCUUUUAGUAGGGAAGAAGCGAAAGUGACGGUACCUGCAGAAAAAGCACCGGCUAACUACGUGCCAGCAGCCGCCGUAA